rnacentral:misc_RNA from 1 species
GUAGGUGAACCUGCGGAAGGAUCAUUAACACGAAUCUCCCCAAAAAAAAGGGGCAACGAAGAAAACAAGGGGGCAACCCUUUUCUUUUCUUUCUUGCCCAUUUUCCCCCCUUUUUCAUGCGAACUCUUGUUAGGAAGUGCCUCAUAGUUUGGGAGGGUGUGGUUCUCCGCUCCCCCCCUUGACUCCCUGAUCACUUCCGCUUUUUUUCUCUUCUUCCUAUUUCUAAAACAAACCCCAUUGAAAUUUUUCUUGACUGAACUUUCUUUUUUUCUUGGCUUUGGGUGUGUGUUUGCUUUCUUCUUCUCUCUUCCGAGAGGAGAAAGGGAGAGAAAACCACCCCGAAACAGGGAAAAAAUAUACACACUUAAAAUGUGAAAAACAACUCUUAGCAACGGAUAUCUUGGCUCUC